UACGUAGGUGGCAAGCGUUGUCCGGAUUUACUGGGCGUAAAGAGCGCGCAGGCGGUCGUUCAAGUCGCGUGUGAAAGCCCCCGGCUCAACUGGGGAGGGUCACGCGAUACUGAUCGACUCGAAGGCAGGAGAGGGUAGUGGAAUUCCCGGUGUAGUGGUGAAAUGCGUAGAUAUCGGGAGGAACACCAGUGGCGAAGGCGGCUUUCUGGAACGGUACUGACGCUGAGACGCGAAAGCGUGGGGAGCGAACAGG
rnacentral:rRNA from 1 species